CAGCGGCGGCCUCGAGUCCCUAGACAUCAUCCCCUUCGACCACCGGGUGCGGGUAGGGGUCGCCGCCGCCGACCGUCUCCAGUCCGUCGCGCGAAUUGGUGACCCUUCCGCCCGCCCAUACAUAUCCUGCGAUGGCUUCCUCGUCCUCUUAAUCGGCCAAGAACACUUAUGCAACCCGUCAAUGUGCUCGCCUCCCAAGUCUUACCACCGGCACCCACCAACCCGCCGGAAUGUACCCGCACGGCCCAACCGGCGAGUACAGGAUACUGCUGGCUCCUGAUGAUCCAGAUGACUCCUACCAGGUCUACACACUAGGCCCCAGCGAGCCGCCCAGGCACAUAGACAUAGAGGGCCCCAAUGUGGAGGACUUGUCACCCAGUACACAUCUCAUGUUCCGUGGUAGCCUGCAUUGGUGCAUAGGCAGCAUUAUACAUGUAUUCAACACCACAACUGAGUCCUUCUGGCAGAUGCUCGCUCCAGAUGUUCCUCACAGUGUUGACCGGUAUGUGAUGGAUAUACUUUAUGGCGCUGUCCUGUUUGAGAUGGAUGGAAUGCUUAGCAUGCCCAUUCUUACUGAUGAAUUUACCAGCAUUGGUAUCUGGGCUAUGCAAGACUAUGAAAAUGAGGUCUGGACCUCAAAAUACCGGGUCGAAUUGCCACUUGCAGACCUCACCGUGCAGUUUGGAAAGUUUAACCCAUGUCUUCAUGGGGUGCCCGCUUUUUGGGACGGUGACGUGAUCAUCCUGGUCCAGUUUGGUGAGUGGCUACUUCGGCUUGACAUGGAUGGCAAGUUGGUUGCCAAUUUGUGCCAUUGCAGAGGCCUCUUUCCUACUCGACAUCAACUCAAGCAAACUCUUGUUCAGCAUACCUUCUUUCCGACACUAGAGGGUUAUACUGUCAAUGCUUCACCUUUCAUCUGACCAAAAGAUUAUGCUGUGAAGACUUAGCCUUUCAUCGGAGACCGUUGUUCACUGUGUGGUGCUUCUUAGCAGCUUAGCUCUCCUUAUCCCUAUGAGCUCUAGUAUGUAUUAAUCAGAUCCACUAUGAGUCCAGUACCUUCUUUGUAGAUGUAUUAAAAAUUAUGAUGAAGAAGCUCGGAUUACUCCAUGGUUGUGUUAUACUAUUUCAUUGAAUAUUACAAGUCAUUUCUGAAUAUUACAAGUCAUUGAUGAAGAAGCUCAGCUUAAAAAAAUUGGGCAGAAGUGGUGGCAGUGAGUGUUGGUGCUAAAUCACAAGUCAUUUCUGACUUGUGUCUCUGUUUUCUUGAACUCACAAGUGGAGAUCCUUUUCCCCUUUAUAUGGUCUCCUCGUAGUAUGCGAUAGUUAGCAAUCUAGCUGCCUCUUGUCUCUGCUUAUUGAACAGAAUAAUUGACUUGUCUUUUUAUGUGGUAUACUUUUCUAGAGAUUACCCAGUUGUCUUCUCAGAACUAACUAUUUAGCAAAUGUACAUUUCUUAUUCCUAUUUUGUGUUUUGUUUUAUCAGAAGGUGUAAUGAGGCAGAUUAUCCUCUUGUUGGCUGCUAACCAUUUCAAGGAAUUAAUACUAUCAUAGUACUAUUCCUUUGACAAUUAGGAUUGUAGAUCUGAUAAUAAAGAUAAGAAAUCGACUAAGUAGGGGUGGUGUUUGUGCCUUUCUAACUAAUGUUUUUUUAACUGCAGUUUCUGCUUAUUAGUUUGAGCAUUAGGGAUUAUUUGCUGUUGACUGUAUUCAAGAAACCAUUGCACUCAAUUUCAAUCCCCACACAAUACUGUUUGGUAACUUACCUAAAAGCUGUGUUGUUAGGCUAGUGCAUGCAGUCGGCUGCCAUCAUAAGGAAAAAGUAGCUCACUGUCAGCUAUGCUCUCAGCUCAAACUAUGUCUUGAGCUGUGGAGGACAUCCACUGCUAGUUUGUAAGAAUAGUUCACUGUCAGGUAUAUUUAUUAAAGGAAAAAAGCAGUUCACUCACGUGUUUCCUCUUGCAGCACAGUGCAGGUAGUUUACAAGAAGGAAAGAAGAUGACUCGAGUCUGUGUUUGUGAGUGAGUUCAUCUAUUGCUGCGGUCGUCGACAUUUUGUUCGUGGAGAUGUGUGUGCCAGCCUAAGUGCCUAACUGGUUGCCAGAAUCCUAGGCACGUCUAUGCUCAAAAUAAGAAGAGACGACAAAACACUUGAAAAGCUCGGGCUGGCGCGUUGCGACAAAACACAAUAAGAAGAGAGUUACCCUGGGAUGCAAGAUACGAGGGGGGAUGGGUCUGAAGACGCUCACCAUGCUACUGUGUGCUGCACUAGCUACCAAGGCAGUGGCGUUACGAGCUGAGCUGCGGCAAGUUCUGAAGAGGCACCCAGAAAUUCACGCUCUGACUGGUUGUGAGUCCUGUAUGGAGGAUAUCUGCUGAUGCUGUGGAUGCUUGAUGAAUGGUGUCUCGGUUGGGGCCUCGGUUGCCUCUGUCCAGAAUGGCAGGGAGGAGAACUGGAGAAUGGUGUCGGCAAGUUCUGAAGAUCGCAUCAAAGGUAAUUGUACCAUUGGGGCCUCGGUUGCCUCUCUCCAGAAUUAUUUUGUCUGUACCAAACCUGAUUACCAUGCGUGCGACGAUAAGAAAGGCAAGCUGUACAUGUGUGCUGAAGCAAGGCGACGCAAGAUGCAUCCCAGACGGUGGAGACGUGGUGAGUGAUCAGUGGUGGAUCAGACUCAAUAUUGAGGGCUCCUUUGUUGAACAGACUGGCAAAGGACGUACAGGUAUAUUAUGCGUAUAACAUCAACAGUUCGGAAUCGGCGGACAGAGUACCAUGAAGCUAAAACGAGUUGGAGUUCUAGGGGGUGCAAAAAACUUCCUGAUGUUGGAUGGACACAGACUGAUUCCAGCUGAAUAUGUGAAGACAUGGUCUGAUGGGGCUGGUGCUGGGGCUGUAUUGCAAAGAGGGGAUGACGGCGCUGUUAUGUUUUUGCUGUUGCUGAUUUUUGUUGGUUGGUCACAGCGCGUUGGUAAGGCUUCGCAUGACGAGGCUCUGCCACUAAUCAACAGCCUUAGUUCAGUUUUUCUUUUUUUAGAAGAAGCCUUAGUUCAGCUGAACGAUUGUCGUCUCUGUUUAUAGUUUACAACGGCCCAUUGUGGACAUGGGCUCGCGCCCGUCCCGGUUUAUAGUUUACAGCGGCCCAUUGUGGAAAUUGGAUAUCUAUCCUUCGUUACGUUUUUUCUUUUCAAGUACAAUUUGCUACUCCCUAUGGGUCACAGAGAUAGUUGAAGCUUUUUAAGCUAAAAUUAUUUAUUAAAUAUAAUAUAUUCUGAUUAA